rnacentral:rRNA from 1 species
UACGGAGGGUGCAAGCGUUAUCCGGAUUCACUGGGUUUAAAGGGUGCGUAGGAGGGCAGGGAAGUCAGUGGUGAAAUCUCCGGGCUUAACCCGGAAACUGCCAUUGAUACUAUUUGUCUUGAAUACUGUGGAGGUCAGCGGAAUAUGUCAUGUAGCGGUGAAAUGCUUAGAUAUGACAUAGAACACCAAUUGCGAAGGCAGCUGGCUACACAAAUAUUGACACUGAGGCACGAAAGCGUGGGGAUCAAACAGG